UUGCAUGCAUUUUAUUUUUUCAAGGGCUUCUAGUAAUGAUCCUUUCUGUAAAGGUGGUGACAAGAGCUGAAACACUUCCUGAGAUGUCGGCCACCAGCUGCAGUCCAGAUGAUCCAGAGUUUCGGAUUCUCCUGAUGGACAGAGACGCUUGGGAAAAACCUCAUAGGAAUAAGCUCACUGGGAGAAAAUUGAUUUAUGAUCAAUCUGAAGUCUGUGGGAGAGAACACGGGUUGAAGACGGGGAAUGUGACUAAACGUGCAUUAUGUACUCGUCUCGGGACAGAGGAAAAGGAAGAAACACGGAAGCGUAGGAACAUAGUAGAGCAAACGAGUGAAAGCGCAUGCGCGUUAAACAAAGUUAAGAUUUUUCAGUUCUCAGUAUCGUAUCUGAACGUAAUGGUGCAAUACAAUCGCUCGUGCAUGACUCACAUCAACCAGAGGACGACGACAAUUGAGGUAAGAGGAGCAAACAUGCAGAACGUAACAGAGUGGUGUGAAGAGAUUCAUACCCGCGGGGUUCGUGUAUAAGAUUCUUCCUGUUUUAUUGAAUUACGUCAACAAUCCUGACUGUGAUCAGAGCUGGUAUUCACAGGAUGGACUGAAGGUAGCAGAUCCAUCAGAUCCCCAGAAACUGAUCUCUCCUGUUAUUUCC